rnacentral:pre_miRNA from 1 species
CAAGUACUCCCUCCGUCCGGAAUUACUUGUCAUCAAAAUGGAUGUGUCUACAACUAAAAUACAUCUAGAUACAUCCAUUUCAAUGACAAGUAUUUUCGGACGGAGGGAAUACAAG